rnacentral:rRNA from 1 species
AUUGAACGCUGGCGGCAGGCCUAACACAUGCAAGUCGAGCGGAUGAAGGGAGCUUGCUCCUGGAUUCAGCGGCGGACGGGUGAGUAAUGCCUAGGAAUCUGCCUGGUAGUGGGGGAUAACGUCCGGAAACGGGCGCUAAUACCGCAUACGUCCUGAGGGAGAAAGUGGGGGAUCUUCGGACCUCACGCUAUCAGAUGAGCCUAGGUCGGAUUAGCUAGUUGGUGGGGUAAAGGCCCACCAAGGCGACGAUCCGUAACUGGUCUGAGAGGAUGAUCAGUCACACUGGAACUGAGACACGGUCCAGACUCCUACGGGAGGCAGCAGUGGGGAAUAUUGGACAAUGGGCGAAAGCCUGAUCCAGCCAUGCCGCGUGGGUGAAGAAGGUCUUCGGAUUGUAAAGCACUUUAAGUUGGGAGGAAGGGCAGUAAGUUAAUACCUUGCUGUUUUGACGUUACCAACAGAAUAAGCACCGGCUAACUUCGU